AGAGAUGUGUGAUGACGCAUAUCAAUAAGCGGAGGAAAAGAAACUAACAAGGAUUCCCUUAGUAACGGCGAGUGAAGCGGGAAGAGCUCAAAUUUGAAAUCUUCAAGGUUCUACCUUGACGAAUUGUAGUUUAUAGAAGUGUUUUCUGUUAGUAGAGUGGCAAAAGUUCUUUGGAAUAGGACAUCAUAGAGGGUGAGAAUCCCGUAUUUGGUCAUUCCUUCUAGCUUUGUGAUACACUUUCAAGAGUCGGAUUGUUUGGGAAUGCAGUCCAAAAUGGGUGGUAAAUUUCAUCUAAAGCUAAAUAUUGGCGAGAGACCGAUAGCGAACAAGUACCGUGAGGGAAAGAUGAAAAGAACUUUGAAAAGAGAGUUAAACAGUACGUGUAAUUGUCAAAAGGGAAGCGUUUGACACCAGUGUUGUUUUUCCGAAAAUCAAUUACGAAUGUUUUAUUUUUGAGGAGUUAUGACUUCAUCGGCUUGCUUCUCUCUUUACGAAACUUUCUUAAUGCACUUUUCGGUUAACAAGUCAACAUCAAUUUCUUUUGUUGUAAAAGGGUAUGAGGAAGGUGGCUUUCUUUUCGGAGAGAGUGUUUAUAGCCUAUGUACCUCUGCAAUCGGAGAGAUUGAGGUCUGCAGCGUAGAUCCUUCGGGGUUAGAUACAUUUGUGCUAAGUUAUAGCUUUUCAUAGACAACUUGUUGACUAUGUUAGUCUUGUAGCUUACUCGCUUAUGCCUAUUUUACCUACGCUUAGGAUGUUGACAGCAGUAUAGACUGU
rnacentral:rRNA from 1 species